rnacentral:rRNA from 1 species
UUGACCUCAAAUCAGGUAGGAUUACCCGCUGAACUUAAGCAUAUCAAUAAGCGGAGGAAAAGAAACUAACAAGGAUUCCCCUAGUAACUGCGAGUGAAGCGGGAAAAGCUCAAAUUUAAAAUCUGGUAGCUUUUGCUGCCCGAGUUGUAAUCUAGAGAAGCAUUAUCGGUGCUGGCGCGUGUACAAGUGUCCUGGAAUGGACCAUCAUAGAGGGUGAGAAUCCCGUCUUUGACACGACUGCCUAGUGCUUUGUGAUGUGCUCUCAAAGAGUCGAGUUGUUUGGGAAUGCAGCUCUAAAUGGGUGGUAAAUUCCAUCUAAAGCUAAAUAUUGGCGAGAGACCGAUAGCGAACAAGUACCGUGAGGGAAAGAUGAAAAGAACUUUGGAAAGAGAGUUAAACAGUACGUGAAAUUGCUGAAAGGGAAACGCUUGAAGUCAGUCGCGUUGGCUGGGGAUCAACCUUGCUUUUUUGCUUGGCUUACUUCCCAGUUGACGGGUCAGCAUCAGUUUUGACCAGUGGAUAAAGGUUAGGGGAAUGUGGCACCUCUGGGUGUGUUAUAGCCCCUGGUCAUAUACAUUGGUUGGGACUGAGGAACUCAGCACUUGUGUGCUUAGGAUGCUGGCAUAAUGGCUUUAAGCGACCCGUCUUGAAACACGGACCAAGGAGUCUAACAUGCCC